UACAGAGGUCCCGAGCGUUGUUCGGAUUCACUGGGCGUAAAGGGUGCGUAGGCGGUUCUGAAAGUCUGAUGUGAAAGUCUCCAAGGCCCAACCCUGGAAACGGCAUUAGAAAACUACAGGGCUAGAGGCUUGGAGGGGAACUGGAAUGCUCGGUGUAGGCAGUGAAAUGCGUAGAGAUCGAGCGGAACACCAGUGGCGAAGGCGAGUUCCUGGACAAGUCCGUGACGCUGAGGCACGAAAGCCAGGGGAGCAAACAGG
rnacentral:rRNA from 1 species